AACCUGGUUGAUCCUGCCAGUAGUCAUACGCUCGUCUCAAAGAUUAAGCCAUGCAUGUGUAAGUAUCAAUGAUUUGACCAAAGAAACUGCGAAUAGUCUGCAUUAAAACAGUUAUAGUUUACUUGGUGGUUACUCUUGACAUGGAUAACUGUGGUGAUUCUAGAGCAUACAUACAUGCGCCAAAACCCAACUACUUGGACGGGUGUGUGUAUAUUAGCCCCAGAACCGACCCAGGCUCCGCCUGGUCCUGUGGUGAACCGUAAUAAGCAAACGAAUCGCGUAGCUUCCGCUGGCGAUAAACCAUUCAAGUUUCUGACCUGUCAGCUUCCGACGGUACGGUAUUGGCCUACCGUGGCAAUGACGGGUAACGGAGAAUUAGGGUUCGAUUCCGGAGAGGGAGCCUGAGAAAUGGCCACCACAUCUAAGGAAGGCAGCAGGCGCGCAAAUUACCCCAAUCCUGACACAGGGAGGUAGUGACAAGAAAUAACAAUAUAGGGCAUCCAUGUCUUGUAAUUGGAAUGAAUA
rnacentral:rRNA from 1 species